rnacentral:rRNA from 1 species
UACAGAGGGGGCAAGCGUUAUUCGGAAUUAUUGGGCGUAAAGGGCGCGUAGGCGGCCUGGCAAGUGGAAGGUGAAAUCCCUCGGCUUAACCGAGGAACUGCCCUCCAAACUGCUUGGCUUGAGGCCGGGAGAGGCGAGUGGAAUUCCCAGUGUAGCGGUGAAAUGCGUAGAUAUCAGGAGGAACACCAAUAGCGAAGGCAGCUCGCUGGGACGGUACUGACGCUGAGGCGCGAAAGCGUGGGGAGCGAACAGG